CUUUUAGGGCAACACCCACGGAAUAUGGAAGUUCCCAGGCUAGAGGUUAAAUUGGAGCUGCAGCUGCCAGCCUACACCACAGCCACAGCAACACCAGAUCUGAGACAUGUCUGCAACCUACACAUAGCUCACAGCAACACCAGAUCCUUAGCCCACGAGUGAGGCCAGGGAUCAAACCGGCAUCCUCACAGAUACGUUUUUUUCUGGUUAUGGCUGAGCCAUGACAAGAACUCCUAAAUUUUUUCUUACACACUAAUAUCACAGUGGAAAUUAUUUGAACUAGAUCGUGUCUGCCUCCACCUAAUAACCACCACUGUAUUUUCUGUUUCAUAAUUCUGAUUACUCUUGAUUCUUUUUACUUUUAACAUAUCUGUUUCUCUAUAGUUAAAGGAGGUUCCUAUGGAUACCAUGUAGUUGGGUCUUACUUUUAUUUCCAAUUUGACAAUGUCUUUUAAAGGAAUGCUUAAUGGAGUUCCUGCUAAGGUUUUCAGGAUCUGGCAUUGCUGAAGCUGUGGUGUAAGUCAACGCUGCAGCUCGAAUUCAAUCCCUGGCUCAGGAACUUCAUAUACCACAGGGGCAGCUGAAAAGAAAAAAGAAAAAUAAAAAAAUAAAAGAGUGCUUCAACCACUUGCAUGUCACACAAUUAUCAACAGAUUAUGUUUAAAUGUACUAUCUUGCUAUUUGUUUUCUGCUUUUCCUAUCUGUUCCAGGUUUAUUUUUCCUCUUUUCCUGCUUUCUUUAAAAUAAAAUUGACUUUUCGGUUUUUGUUUUUUUUUGUUUGUUUGUUUUGUUUUUUCUGGUGGCAGGGAGGUUGCUCUACGAUUUGUGAUAUACACUUUUAACUUAACAGACUACUCUAAAUGACACACACCACUCACACACACAACAGUAUCCUCUCUCCUUUCAUCCUCCUGUCCCAGUGCUACUGUUGCUAUUCACAUUCAUUUAACAUAGAGUUCUGGGGAUCCAUAAUGUGUUGUUAUUAUGUUUGCUUUGAGCGAUUUUCUUUUUUUGUU
rnacentral:lncRNA from 1 species